GACGAACGCUGGCGGCGUGCUUAACACAUGCAAGUCGAACGGAAAGGCCCUGCUUUUGUGGGGUGCUCGAGUGGCGAACGGGUGAGUAACACGUGAGUAACCUGCCCUUGACUUUGGGAUAACUUCAGGAAACUGGGGCUAAUACCGGAUAGGAGCUCCUGCUGCAUGGUGGGGGUUGGAAAGUUUCGGCGGUUGGGGAUGGACUCGCGGCUUAUCAGCUUGUUGGUGGGGUAGUGGCUUACCAAGGCUUUGACGGGUAGCCGGCCUGAGAGGGUGACCGGCCACAUUGGGAUUGAGAUACGGCCCAGACUCUUACGGGAGGCAGCAGUGGGGAAUAUUGCACAAUGGGCGGAAGCCUGAUGCAGCAACGCCGCGUGCGGGAUGACGGCCUUCGGGUUGUAAACCGCUUUCGCCUGUGACGAAGCGUGAGUGACGGUAAUGGGUAAAGAAGCACCGGCUAACUACGU
rnacentral:rRNA from 1 species